AACGAACGCUGGCGGCAUGCCUAACACAUGCAAGUCGAACGAGACCUUCGGGUCUAGUGGCGCACGGGUGCGUAACGCGUGGGAAUCUGCCCUUAGGUUCGGAAUAACUUCGGGAAACUGAAGCUAAUACCGGAUGAUGACGUAAGUCCAAAGAUUUAUCGCCUAAGGAUGAGCCCGCGUUGGAUUAGCUAGUUGGUGAGGUAAAGGCUCACCAAGGCGACGAUCCAUAGCUGGUCUGAGAGGAUGAUCAGCCACACUGGGACUGAGACACGGCCCAGACUCCUACGGGAGGCAGCAGUGGGGAAUAUUGGACAAUGGGCGAAAGCCUGAUCCAGCAAUGCCGCGUGAGUGAUGAAGGCCUUAGGGUUGUAAAGCUCUUUUACCCGGGAUGAUAAUGACAGUACCGGGAGAAUAAGCCCCGGCUAACUUCGUGCCAGCAGCCGCGGUAAAGUGACUACUG
rnacentral:rRNA from 1 species